rnacentral:ncRNA from 2 species
GAACAGCAUAGGCAAACCUAUCGAAAGGUAGAGACGCAAAGCCACGGGUCUAAGGAAGUACUUUGUACUUUCAAGAUAGCCGGGUUGCAGAA